UAAAGUGCGAUAUGUAGUGCGAUUUGCAUGAAUCUGUGAGUCAUCUAAUCUUUGAACGCAACUUGCGCCUCUCUGAGGCAUGUUUGUUCGAGCGCCGCAUCUUUUCUGCAGCAAUGCGAUCUGACAGUUGUCCCUGGACUCUGUCUAAACUUAGCCAGAUAGUGGCCUGUACGGCUAGCCCGAGUGCUAAGCAUUCUCGAGUGCUAGUCGAGCAGGUUAUAUGAUGGGCUUUGGCUUAUCUUUAUCUUUGGCCUCGAAUCAAGCAAGACUACCCGCUGAACUUAA
rnacentral:misc_RNA from 1 species